rnacentral:rRNA from 1 species
ACACGUGGGUAACCUGCCUCAUACAGGGGGAUAACAGUUAGAAAUGACUGCUAAUACCGCAUAAGACCACAGAGCCGCAUGGCUCAGUGGGAAAAACUCCGGUGGUAUGAGAUGGACCCGCGUCUGAUUAGGUAGUUGGUGGGGUAACGGCCUACCAAGCCAACGAUCAGUAGCCGACCUGAGAGGGUGACCGGCCACAUUGGGACUGAGACACGGCCCAAACUCCUACGGGAGGCAGCAGUGGGGAAUAUUGCACAAUGGGGGAAACCCUGAUGCAGCGACGCCGCGUGAGCGAAGAAGUAUUUCGGUAUGUAAAGCUCUAUCAGCAGGGAAGAAAAUGACGGUACCUGACUAAGAAGCACCGGCUAACUACGUGCCAGAG